rnacentral:ncRNA from 1 species
AAGUUCGCCCGUGUAACCACGGUCAGACUUGCAGCACAUGUACAAAUUUUAAUGCAUAAGUUACCACUGGAAGUGGGCCACUCUUGGUAAGCAGGACUGGCGAUGCGGGAUGAACCGAACGCCGGGUUAAGGCGCCCGACGA